CUGAUUUAAUGACAGUUAAAUUGUUGCAUUAAAGUGAACCUGUCAUGACAAAUAUAGGUUUUUAGUUUUCUAACCAUCUGAAUUGCCUUAUUUUAUACAAUUAAGUGUUUCUUCCCUUAAUACCGUUAAAAGCUUGUAUUUAAAUGUAUUUUCAUUACUCCUGUCUCCUGCUGAAAGAAUCCAUCAAUCAUGUUUCAGUGGGUGUUCCAUUUGCUGUAAAACACAUCUCUCCCG